rnacentral:rRNA from 1 species
GAUGAACGCUGGCGGCGUGCCUAAUACAUGCAAGUCGAGCGAACAGACGAGGAGCUUGCUCCUCUGACGUUAGCGGCGGACGGGUGAGUAACACGUGGAUAACCUACCUAUAAGACUGGGAUAACUUCGGGAAACCGGAGCUAAUACCGGAUAAUAUAUUGAACCGCAUGGUUCAAUAGUGAAAGACGGUUUUACUGUCACUUAUAGAUGGAUCCGCGCCGCAUUAGCUAGUUGGUAAGGUAACGGCUUACCAAGGCAACGAUGCGUAGCCGACCUGAGAGGGUGAUCGGCCACACUAGAACUGAGACACGGUCCAGACUCCUACGGGAGGCAGCAGUAGGGAAUCUUCCGCAAUGGGCGAAAGCCUGACGGAGCAACGCCGCGUGAGUGAUGAAGGUCUUCGGAUCGUAAAACUCUGUUAUUAGGGAAGAACAAAUGUGUAAGUAACUAUGCACGUCUUGACGGUACCUAAUCAGAAAGCCACGGCUAACUACGUG